rnacentral:rRNA from 1 species
AUUGAACGCUAGCGGGAUGCCUUACACAUGCAAGUCGAACGGAGUGGCGAACGGGUGGGUAAUGUAUAGGAACGUGCCCAGUAGCCGGGGAUAACUACGCGAAAGCGUAGACAAUAUCGCAUACUUUUGGAGCGGUCGAUAUCGGAUGAGCUUGUUGGUGGGGUAACGGGUUACCAAGGCGACGAUCCGUAGCUGGUUUGCGAGGACGAGUAGCCACACUGGGACUGAGACACGGCCCAGACUCCUACGUGAGGCAGCAGUGGGGAAUUUUGGACAAUGGGGGAAACCCUGAUACAGCCAUCCCGCGUGUGCGAUGAAGGCCUUCGGGUUGUAAAGCACUUUUGGCAGGAAAGCGGUACCUGCAGAAUAAGCACCGGCUAACUACGUGCCAGCAGCCGCGGUAAUUC